rnacentral:rRNA from 1 species
CUACGAGUCGCUGCAGUGAGGAAUAUUGCACAAUGGGGGGAACCCUGAUGCAGCAACGCCGCGUGGAGGAUGACGCAUUUCGGUGUGUAAACUCCUUUUAUAUGUCAAGAAAAUGACGGUAGCAUAUGAAUAAGCACCGGCUAACUCCGUGCCAGCAGCCGCGGUAAUACGGAGGGUGCAAGCGUUACUCGGAAUCACUGGGCGUAAAGGACGCGUAGGCGGGUUGGAAAGUCAGGUGUGAAAUCCUACAGCUUAACCGUAGAACUGCACUUGAAACUUCUAAUCUAGAGUAUGGGAGGGGGAGAUGGAAUUAGUGGUGUAGGGGUAAAAUCCGUAGAUAUCACUAGGAAUACCUAAAGCGAAGGCGAUCUCCUGGAACAUUACUGACGCUAAGGCGUGAAAGCGUGGGGAGCAAACAGGAUUAGAUACCCCUGUAGUC